CCAGAACAGCACUUGCUGCAGAGAACACAUGAGCGGAGCAGAAACCUUUGGACCAUUUUGUCAUUUUAAAAGUUUUUAGGACAAAUCUGCGAUUUUAACACAAGUAUUUUUGAAACGUCUGCUGCUGUUCAAUUGGAAAAUUGAAAGUUUGCACGGAAGCAUAAAGCAUGCUCCCCUGAUGGUACUGAUGACAUGAACAAGGAAACUCCCCCUCAGCCCCCAGAUGUCAUUGCCAGUACAGAUGAUUCAGAAAACACACAUGAAGCCAUGCCAACAACUAGUGCAGCCUGUGAUAUGCCAGAGAAUCAUAGUGUAGAAUGAUUCGGCUGAUCCGAAUGCCUGUGGUCCUCAACGCACCCCAGAGACAUAUGAUGCGGCUGUUGCUGAUCUCCAGGCUGAAAACAUCCAAGGCCUCAGAGGAAUAAAGGUGGCAUUUCUUCUUCAGUGCAAAUAUGAGUGACUCAGAGCGAACCUUCCUAGAUGUCGCCAUCAUGGAAGUCCUACCAGAACUUCCAGCAGUACACAAAAACAUCCUGGAAGAGCACUUGCAAUCC